CAGGCCCGUCCUUCGGGACCGCCGGGGGUGUUCAGUCACCUCUGGCCCGUGCUUGCCAAUAGCCUAUUCAAAAUCCUUUUUUUAACCAUGAAGUCUGAGAAUUAAUUAUAAAUAUAAUUAAAACUUUCAACAACGGAUCUCUUGGUUCUGGCAUCGAUGAAGAACGCAGCGAAAUGCGAUAAGUAAUGUGAAUUGCAGAAUUCAGUGAAUCAUCGAAUCUUUGAACGCACAUUGCGCCCUUUGGUAUUCCGAAGGGCAUGCCUGUUCGAGCGUCAUUAUCAACCAUCAAGCCCGGCUUGUUAUUGGGUCCCCAUAUCGUUAAAGAUAGGCCCGAAAGAUAAUGGCGGCGUCACGAAUGACCCCAGAUGCAGCGAGCUUUAAGCAUACAUCGAGGUGGUGUUCUUGGCCUGGCCUUUUGAAAUUUCAUUCUUAUGGAUUUCAUUUUUUUAAGGUUGACCUCGGAUCAGGUAGGAAUACCCGCUGAACUUAAG
rnacentral:rRNA from 1 species